AUUAAGCCUUCGCUGCUGCUUAUGCUUGUGAUGCACACUGUAAGUCUCUGUAAUACAAAAUGCAUUUUGUAAGAAAGAGCCAUUUUAAUAUCUGUUUAUAUAUACUUUCCCACUUGGUGCAUGUUCAUGUUCUUAAAUCUUAAGCAUCCUCUCUGGAUCAUCAAUUGAUUUCACUCUUUAAGCCUUCCUUCCUACACAGAGAGAGAGAGAGAGAG
rnacentral:misc_RNA from 1 species